rnacentral:rRNA from 1 species
AACGAACGCUGGCGGCAGGCUUAACACAUGCAAGUCGAACGGCUGUUAGCAAUACAGCAGUGGCAGACGGGUGAGUAACACGUGGGGAACCUACCUAGGGGUACGGAAUAACUCGGGGAAACUCGUGCUAAUACCGUAUACGACCUUUGGGUGAAAGAUUUAUCGCCCCUAGAUGGGCCCGCGUUGGAUUAGCUAGUUGGUGGGGUAAAGGCCUACCAAGGCAACGAUCCAUAGCUGGUCUGAGAGGAUGAUCAGCCACACUGGGACUGAGACACGGCCCAGACUCCUACGGGAGGCAGCAGUGGGGAAUCUUGGACAAUGGGGGAAACCCUGGAUCCAGCCAUGCCGCGUGAAUGAUGAAGGCCUUAGGUUGUAAAGUUCUUUCGCCAGGGAAGAUAAUGACGGUACCUGGAUAAGAAGCCCCGGCAAACUUCGUG